rnacentral:rRNA from 1 species
UACGUAGGUGGCAAGCGUUGUCCGGAUUUACUGGGCGUAAAGAGCGCGCAGGCGGUCGUUCAAGUCGCGUGUGAAAGCCCCCGGCUCAACUGGGGAGGGUCACGCGUACUGAUCGACUCGAAGGCAGGAGAGGGUAGUGGAAUUCCCGGUGUAGUGGUGAAAUGCGUAGAUAUCGGGGAGGAACACCGGUGGCGAAGGCGGUUCUCGGGCCUUGCCUGCGCUGAGGA